rnacentral:lncRNA from 1 species
GCAUUGUUGGUACGUUCUGGGGAGUAGCCUGGGUCAGGUCUGGUCAUUUUUCCUAACGUGGCACCAGAAUAGUUCAUUCCUAUCUUGUGAUAUUUUCUUAAUAUCGUUAACAUUUCCCUCUUCUAAUCUCUCCAAGCUGGUCAGUUUUAAGGAUCAUCUUCUCCUGUAGACACCGUGAGACGCAUUGCUACUGGUAGGUGAUCGGUCAAGCCUGCUAGCUGGGUAAUAAAGCUGAACUCUUCCACUUCCACUUUCCAUUCCAGGUAGAGACCUUCUUCUGUAUAAAGCAUGUAAUCAAUCCUCCUGCCGUUUCCUUUCAAUGAUGCCUUCCUCCCCUUCUGACUGGAACUGUGGUUCUUGCUGGUGGGAUAGACUAAGUAUCCUUUCCUUCCUUCUUCACUUUCCAGCACCUUCUGUAGGUUGUCUGGAGUGAACACUUCUUCAUCAUAUAAUCCUU